rnacentral:lncRNA from 1 species
GCAGUUUAAGCGCUUAUUGGUGGGACGAAGGCAGACUCUUCCAUUAGUGAUCAAGAACAAUGGCAAUGUGCCUGCACAAGUUAGCAUUGUACUACAGUGUCACCUGGACGUUUUCACUCUAAAAGCUGCUCCUGGCACUGUUUGCAGACUGGCCUCCUCACAAAUAGAAUGCAAUCCCAGAGAAGAGACACAACUAGUACAUGUAGCCUCUCUGAUCCUCAUGGCUGGACAACAAGCAGAAUUCCAGGUCGGGUUUCAUCCAAAGGUGGCUCAGAAGUUUGAGGCCUGCUUGAAGUUAAUGGUAAAGGAUAACCAGUAUGAUCAGACAGUGGUGCAGCUUGUGGGUGAGGGUUACCAUGACAUCAUCAUCCUGGACAACAUUGGCAGCAAAGUUCAGCAGGACAGCAUUGAAAGUAUGUCUGACCUUCUGAAUUUUGGAGACUGUCACGUGGGCCGCA